AGCGCAGGCGGUUUUUUAGGUCUGAUGUGAAAGCCCUUGGCUCAACCAAGGAAGUGCAUCGGAAACUGGAGAACUUGAGUGCAGAAGAGGACAGUGGAGCUCCAUGUGUAGCGGUGAAAUGCGUAGAUAUAUGGAAGAACACCAGUGGCGAAGGCGGCUGUCUGGUCUGUAACUGACGCUGAGGCUCGAAAGCAUGGGUAGCGAACA
rnacentral:rRNA from 1 species